UAAGCAACAAGCAAGUGCAUGGAGAAUCUGGUGAAGAUUGGUAAUAAUAUCUUGCAAAAGCCUAUUUCAAGGAUGAAUCUUGAAACCUGCAUAAAUGAAGCUGUUGAGAAUGAAGUCACAAAUGAACAAGCUCUUAUCAGAACAACAAACUUUUCAUCCAUGGAUUCUUUACCGGUGAAUUGGGAGGCACUAGACACACUGAUUAUCGAUUUCGUCAAAUCGGAAAACCUAAUCGAAGACUCAGGUUCUCCUUCAACUUCGCCGUCGACGUCUCUAUCGCCGUCUUCGUCAACCUCAUCUUCAUCUUCUUCCUCUUAUCAGUCAAGGUUGCUUAUUCGGCAGAUCAGACGUUUAGUGGAGUUUGGUGACAUUGAUGCCGCUAUUGAUCUCUUGCGUGUGCAUGCGCCUUUUGUUCUUGAUGAUCAUCGUCUUCUCUUUUGCUUACAGAAGCAGAGGUUUAUUGAGCUUUUGAGGAAAGGAACUACAGAGGACCGAGAAUCUGCCAUUAAUUGCCUCCGAGAGUCACUGGCACCUUGUGCGUUGGAUGCAUAUCCAGAAGCAUAUGAGGAAUUUAAGCAUAUUCUUCUUGCCUUGGUUUAUGACGAAGAAGAUAAGAAUUCUCCUGUGGUGAGUGAGUGGUCUCCAAGGAGGAGGAUUGACAUUGCUGGACUGCUGUCAUCUGUUUUAAGGGCUCAUUUAUGUGCGUAUGAUCCUCUUUUUGCAAUGUCAUUGAGGUACUUGAUAAGCACACACAAAUUAUUUUGCUUUCGUCAGGGAGUUCCAUCGCCUAUAUCAGAUCUUACACAGAGAUUACUUCUUGAGGACCGUGACCCCCCUGCAACACCACUUGAGAGUUCCUAUGAAGCACCUCCAUUUGAUGAGGUGGACAUACAAGCUCUUGCUCAUGCGGUAGAGCUUACAAGGCAGGGGGCUAUUGAUAGCUUGAGAUUCGCCAAGGGUGACUUAUAUCAAGCAUUUCAGAAUGAGCUGUGCCGGAUAAGAUUGGAUGACCCCAUGUUUGAUGAGCUUGUUCAUGAGUAUUGUGUCUAUAGGGGUUUUGUCAACUUCAGUGUGGUUGAUUCUCCUGGGAUGCAACUUAGUAUCAAUGACGAUCAAUCAGAGUCUGGACAAUUAUCAAAGAACUGUUCCACAGAAGUUGGGGACGGAAACACUAAACUUUCUGGCAGUGACACGUCUGCUUCUCAAGUUAUCAUGGAGGGAUCACCUGAAAGUACCAACUUGGCUAGCAUUCAAAGUACUGAUACCGAAGAACGCUACCCUAGUGAAACAAGUUAUGGAGAUUGCAGUACCAGUGGGACCCCUCAGUUUGAAAAAGUUCUGCAGAAAAAUAAGUGUCUUAGAGUUGGUGAAACAAACAAGCGGAAAAGAUGGAGGGGGAGACAUGAAAACACAGAAUUUGUGUCUGGACCUACCAGUGAAAGGAGCAGAGAAGAUCUUAAUGCCGACACAACAAUGUUGAAAGAUCAGCAGGUUUCUCCAAAAUCAUGCUUCCUGAAUAUGAUGAAGAAUAGAGAGGACAAGCAUGAGCUUGUGCUGGGCUUGAAGGAAUUAGCUAGCAGAGGAAUGACAGAGGAGGUUGUUGAGGAGAUCAAUGAGAUGGAUUCAAACUUUUUUGUGCAGAACCCUUCUCUGCUUUUUCAACUUAAGCAGGUUGAAUUUUUGAAGCUGGUUGGCUCUGGGGAUCAUACUCAGGCACUGAGGGUAGCCUGUUCUUUUCUGGGCCCUUUGGCUUCUAGUCAUCCUGAUCUGUUGAAGCCAUUGAAGGAGACUUUGCUAGCUUUGCUCAAACCUAAUGAAGAGGCAUUUAAUGAUCGCUUGCCCUUAUGUGUUCUUGCCAAUUCACUCCAGGUUGCUAUUGGUAGGAGGCUUGGUAUUGAAGAACCCCAGCUUAUGAAGAUCAUAAGGGCCACGCUGUAUACACACAGUGAGUGGUUCAAACUUCAAAUGUGUAAAGAUCGAUUUGAGGGGCUCUUGAGGAUCGACGCCCUGAAGGAAGUUGGUGCCAAAUUGAUUAUAGAUGCUUCCAGAUUGGAUGUUGACAUGAGCACUGAUGGAUCAUCUCAAGUUACUGGUUCCUCAAAUAAUAGGAAACAGGAAGAUGGAAGUCCAACCCAGUCAUCGGCCAGAGAUGUUGGAUGUGAUGAAACUGCAAUACUAAAAGUUAUGGAAUUUCUAGCAUUGCCCAGAGCAGAUGCAAUUCACCUCCUUGCACAGUACAACGGGAAUGCAGAGACAGUCAUUCAGCAGAGAUAUUUGCAUAGCCCCUAAAUUAUAGCUGAACAGCACGUCGCCACCGCAGUUCUUCCAGACCUAGAUGAUUUCCCUAAACCCGAUCCAAAAUACGCAGAAACUAUUCAUGCAGUUGUUCGUGUCACUUCGGGAAAGGACUUCGCCGCCAAAGAGAGGAAAGCUGGGCGGGUACCCAGCAUAGUGUUUGAACAAGAGGAUGCCCAACAUGGUGGUAACACAAGACUCAUCUCUGUUUAGGCUAAUCAGAUAAGGAAGCUUGUUAACCAUCUCGGUCACUCCCAUUUCUUAUCCAGUUUGUUUGAUCAUGAGGUUUACCCUCUACUGACGUUAUUGAGAAAGUUCGAGUUCUGCUCAGAAAGGUUCAUCUGGAAGCUGGUUCAGAUGCGCCUCGUAAUGUUACCUUUAAAAGAGCUCCAUCAAGUGCUUUACUAAAGGUUGGGGUUCCUCUUAUAUUUAGAGGCUCCGGUUUGAAGAAAGGUAGAAAUGUUGGCGCUGCCGAGGUACUAAUGCAAAUGUCCGCCAGUUCCGCAUCCAAAACAGGUUUUGAUUUUGUCUACAGGAAAUGGUUAGUUUCACUUUACCAUUUCUUUUUUUUUUAAUGAUUUACAGUACUAUUAAGGGGUAUAGAAGAUACCUCAUAUGAGCUGAAGAUGACAGGCUGAAGUUCCUUGAUGUCAAAAGUUGGGAUUACGACGGCAGUUAAGGUAUCAUGCAACCUGGUACCUCCUAGGAGUCCCUUUAUAAGUGUGUGAAGAUACUUCCCAUCAUAUUUUGGUCUGUUCAACAUUUUUGUUAGAUUUAUUGCCCCACCAAAUGGUCCACUGCAAAAAUCCAAAAUCAAGACAUGUGUAUUUUAAGGGUGUGGUCUAAUAACCAAAAAGAAAAAUCAAGAACUA